rnacentral:rRNA from 1 species
UACGUAGGGUGCGAGCGUUUAAUCGGAAUUACUGGGCGUAAAGCGUGCGCAGGCGGUUCGUGAUGUCUGGUGUGAAAGCCCCGGGCUUAACCUGGGAAUUGCAUUGGAAACUAGCGGGCUGGAGUGUGGCAGAGGGGGGUGGAAUUCCACGUGUAGCAGUGAAAUGCGUAGAGAUGUGGAGGAACACCGAUGGCGAAGGCAGCCCCCUGGGCUAACACUGACGCUCAUGCACGAAAGCGUGGGGAGCAAACAGG